rnacentral:rRNA from 1 species
CCCUUAGAUGUUCUGGGCCGCACGCGUGCUACACUGAGUGGAUCAGCGGGUCAGGUUGCGCGAAAGCGUUUCCUAAUCUUUAAAUCCGCUCGAGAUGGGGAUUGACGGUUGCAAUUUUCUGUCAUGAACGAGGAAUACCUUGUAAGCGCGGGUCAUCAUCCCGCGCUGAAUACGUCCCUGCCCUUUGUACACACCGCCCGUCGCUCCUACCGAUUGAGUGGUCCGGUGAGGCUUUGGGAUCUGAGCGGAAAGAGCGUUUCGCUGUUUCUGCUCGGAAAACUCAGUCGAACCUUAUCAUUUAGAGGAAGGAGAAGUCGUAACA